rnacentral:rRNA from 1 species
UACGUAGGGGGCAAGCGUUGUCCGGAAUCAUUGGGCGUAAAGCGCGUGUAGGCGGCUCGGUAAGUCUGCUGUGAAAGUCCAGGGCUCAACCCUGGGAUGCCGGUGGAUACUGUCGAGCUCGAGUCCGGAAGAGGCGAGUGGAAUUCCUGGUGUAGCGGUGAAAUGCGCAGAUAUCAGGGGGAACACCAAUGGCGAAGGCAGCUCGCUGGGACGUGACUGACGCUGAGACGCGAAAGCGUGGGGAGCAAACAGG